UACGAGGGGGGCGAGCGUUGUUCGGAAUUAUUGGGCGUAAAGCGCUUGUAGGCGGUUUUUCAAGUCGCGUGUGAAAGCUCCAGGCUCAACCUGGAAAGUGCGCGCGAAACUGGGGAGCUCGAGUGUGGGAGAGGGUGGCGGAAUUCCCGGUGUAGCGGUGAAAUUCGUAGAUAUCGGGAGGAACACCAGAGGCGAAGGCGGCCACCUGGACGAGCACUGACGCUGAGAAGCGAAAGCGUGGGGAGCAAACAGG
rnacentral:rRNA from 1 species